rnacentral:rRNA from 1 species
GACGAACGCUGGCGGCGUGCCUAAUACAUGCAAGUUGAGCGCUGAAGGUUGGUUCUUGUACCACCUGGAUGAGCAGCGUACGGGUGAGUAACGCGUGGGGACUCUGCCUUUGAGCGGGGGACAACAUUUGGAAACGAAUGCUAAUACCGCAUAAAAACUUUAAACAGAAGGUUUAAGAUUGAAAGAUGCUAUUGCAUCACUCAAAGAUGAUCCCGCGUUGUAUUAGCUAGUUGGUGAGGUAAAGGGUCACCAAGGGGAUGAUACAUAGCCGACCUGAGAGGGUGGUAGGCCGCCUGGGGACGGAAACACGGCCCAAGCGACUACGGGACGGAGCAGUAGGAGAUCGUAGGCAAGAGACGAAAGUCUGACAGAGCAGGGGCGCGUGAGUGGAAAAGGUGUUCGGAUCGUAAAGCUCGGUUGGUAGAGGAGAACGUUUGUGAGAGUGGAAAGCGCAUCAAGUGACGGUAACUACCCAAGAAGGAACGGCUAACUACGUG